GCCCCCAUACCUCUUUGUCGGUAAUGAUCACCUGCCCAUUUCUGCCCUUCGGGCAAUUAGUAACAGUACUAAAGAAGACAACAGAUCAUAUAGAAGGCAUAGAUACUUCAACUCUCAAGUGUUGGUUUCCAUAGUAAUAACCAUAUAAACAGAAAAACACACAACAUAACCAGUCAGUCAUUCAGGUAAGGAGUGGAUUAUAAAUAGUGGUAACA
rnacentral:lncRNA from 1 species